AAGCGUUGUUCGGAAUUACGGGGCGUAAAGGGCGCGUAGGCGGCCACCUAAGUCAGACGUGAAAUCCCUCGGCUCAACCGGGGAACUGCGUCUGAUACUGGGCGGCUUGAAUUCGGGAGAGGAAUGCGGAAUUCCAGGUGUAGCGGUGAAAUGCGUAGAUAUCUGGAGGAACACCGGUGGCGAAGGCGGCAUUCUGGACCGACAUUGACGCUGAGGCGCGAAAGCCAGGGGAGCAAACGGG
rnacentral:rRNA from 1 species